AAUCAACGCUGGCGGCGUGCCUCAGACAUGCAAGUCGAACGAGAAAGUUUCCUUCGGGAGACGAGUACAGUGGCAUCCGGGUGAGUAACACGUGGGUAAUUUACCUUUGGGUGGGGAAUAGCAGCCGGAAACGGCUAUUAAUACCGCAUAAUGCAGCGGCUCGACAUCGAGACAGUUGUUAAAGCGGGGAUCUGACAAGGACCUCGCGCCUAAAGAGAAGCCUGCGUCAGAUUAGCUAGUUGGUAGGGUAAUGGCCUACCAAGGCUGUGAUCUGUAGCCGGCCUGAGAGGGCGGUCGGCCACACUGACACUGACACACGGGUCAGACUCCUACGGGAGCAGCAGUCGGGAAUUUUGGGCAAUGGGCGCAAGCCUGACCCAGCAACGCC
rnacentral:rRNA from 1 species